GCGCGAUUAGCUCAGCGGUAGAGCGCUUGCUUCACACGCAAGAAGUCACAGGUUCAAACCCUGUAUCGCGCACCA
rnacentral:tRNA from 1 species